rnacentral:rRNA from 1 species
CAUCGUCGACAACAUGGAGAUGAGUCGCCGGCGAGUUGUGUCACCGGUGGUGAGUCACUGGUGAGUUGUGUCACCAGUGAUGAGCAUGGAGGCGAGUCACCAGCGAGUUGUGGCAUCGGUGGCAAACAUGCGGCAGCGAGCGUGCCACGGCAGCAUGCUCAUGGUGAAGGCGCACGAGGUGCGACUCUCAUUGAAGCUAGCGGCGAUGCUGCAAUUGGUGUGACAAGAUGGCAUUGGCGGCCAUCUCCGUGUUGCACCGAUGACAUCAACGACCACGGGCUUCAAGAGAGGAUUAAAUGA